rnacentral:rRNA from 1 species
CUACUUUCCUUUAAGUGGGGAAUAGCCCGGGGAAACCCGGAUUAAUUCCCCGUAACAGUUAUGAAGUGGCAUCAUUUUAURAUUAUAGCUCAGGCGCUUAAAGAUGGGUGUGCGGCUGAUUAGGUAGUUGGCGGGGUAACGGCCCACCAAGCCUACGAUCAGUAACUGGUGUGAGAGCACGACCAGUCACACGGGCACUGAGACACGGGCCCGACUCCUACGGGAGGCAGCAGUAAGGAAUAUUGGUCAAUGGACGCAAGUCUGAACCAGCCAUGCCGCGUGGAGGAUGAAGGUCCUCUGGAUUGUAAACUUCUUUUAUUUGGGAAGAAAUCCAUAUUUUCUAAUGUGGUUGACGGUACCAGAUGAAUAAGCACCGGCUGACUCCGUGCCAGCAGCCGCGGUAAUACGGAGGGUGCAAGCGUUAUCCGGAUUCACUGGGUUUAAAGGGUGCGUASGCGGAUAAGUAAGUCAGUGGUGAAAUCUCCGAGCUUAACUCGGAAACUGCCGUUGAUACUAUUUAUCUUGAAUAUCAUGGAGGUAAGCGGAAUAUGUCAUGURGCGGUGAAAUGCU